ACCAUGCCUAAGUCUCUUGGAAAAGAGCAUCAUAGAGGGUGAUAAUCCCGUACAUGGCAUGGAGCGCCCGAGACUUUGUGAUACGCUUUCUAAGAGUCGAGUUGUUUGGGAAUGCAGCUCAAAAUGGGUGGUAAAUGCCAUCUAAGGCUAAAUAUUGGGGAGAGACCGAUAGCGAACAAGUACAGUGAUGGAAAGAUGAAAAGAACUUUGAAAAGAGAGUUAAACAGUACGUGAAAUUGCCAAAAGGGAAGGGUAGGAGGUCAGAGAUGCGUUCUGGGAUUCAGCCUUGCUUUUGCUUGGUGUUUUUCCCAGAUGGCAGGCCAACGUCGGUUUUGGGCGCUGGAGAAGGGUGGAAGGAAUGUGGCACCUCUCGGGGUGUGUUAUAGCCUUCUACUGGAUACAGUGACCGAGACCGAGGACAGCAGCGUACUCGCAAGAGCGGGCCUUCGGGCACCUUUACGCUUAGGGCGUUGGCAUAAUGGCCCUCUACCACC
rnacentral:rRNA from 1 species